GACGAACGCUGGCGGCGUGCUUAACACAUGCAAGUCGAACGGAGAUUAUUAAUGAAGCUUGCGAUUUAAUAAUCUUAGUGGCGGACGGGUGAGUAACGCGUGGGCAACCUGCCCAUAAGAGGGGGAUAACAUCCGGAAACGGGUGCUAAUACCGCAUAGGUUUCUUGGUCGCAUGAUCGAGAAAGGAAGACGGCCUUUGUAGCUGUCGCUUAUGGAUGGACCCGCGCGUAUUAGUUAGUUGGUGAGGUAAUGGCUCACCAAGACGAUGAUACGUAGCCGACCUGAGA
rnacentral:rRNA from 1 species